rnacentral:rRNA from 1 species
CGAACGGGGUUUAUAUAACAGAACUCUCCGGAGGGAAGAUAUAUAAACCUAGUGGCGGACGGGUGAGUAACGCGUGGGCAACCUGCCCUGUACCGGGGGACAACAGCCAGAAAUGGCUGCUAAUACCGCAUAAGCCUGCUGUGCCGCAUGGCACAGCAGGGAAAACCACGGUGGUACAGGAUGGGCCCGCGUCUGAUUAGUUAGUUGGCAGGGUAACGGCCUACCAAGACAACGAUCAGUAGCCGGCUUGAGAGAGUGGACGGCCACAUUGGGACUGAGACACGGCCCAGACUCCUGCGGGAGGCAGCAGUGGGGAAUAUUGCACAAUGGGGGGAACCCUGAUGCAGCAAUGCCGCGUGGGUGAAGAAGCACUCCGGUGCGUAAAGCCCUGUCAGCAGGGAAGAAAAUGACAGUACCUGGACAAGAAGCCCCGGCUAACUACGUGCCAGCAGCCGCGGUAAUACGUAGGGGGCAAGCGUUAUCCGGAUUUACUGGGUGUGAAGGGAGCGCAGGCGGCGUGGCAAGUCAGAUGUGAAAACCCGGGGCCCAACCCCGGGAGUGCAUUUGAAACUGCCAUGCUGGAGUGCCGGAGAGGUAAGCGGAAUUCCUAGUGUAGCGGUGAAAUGCGUAGAUAUUAGGAGGAACACCAGUGGCGGAGGCGGCUUACUGGACGGUAACUGACGCUGAGGCUCGAAAGCGUGGGGAGCAAACAGGAUUAGAUACCCUGGUAG